CUUUUUCGAAAGGUAUGCUUAAAGAUGAGCUUGCGCCACAUUAGUUUGUUGGUGGGGUAAUGGCCUACCAAGACGAUGAUGUGUAGCUGGACUGAGAGGUCGAACAGCCACAUUGGGACUGAGACACGGCCCAAACUCCUACGGGAGGCAGCAGUAGGGAAUUUUCGGCAAUGGAGGAAACUCUGACCGAGCAACGCCGCGUGAACGAUGAAGUAUUUCGGUAUGUAAAGUUCUUUUAUUGAAGAAGAAAAAAUAGUGGAAAAACUAUCUUGACGUUAUUCAAUGAAUAAGCCCCGGCUAACUAUGUGCCAGCAGCCGCGGUAAGACAUAGGGGGCGAGCGUUAUCCGGAAUUAUUGGGCGUAAAGGGUGCGUAGGCGGUUAGGAAAGUCUAUAAUUUAAUUUCAGUGCUUAACGCUGUCUUGUUAUAGAAACUACCUUGACUAGAGUUAGAUAGAGGCAAGCGGAAUUCCAUGUGUAGCGGUAAAAUGUGUAAAUAUAUGGAGGAACACCAGAAGCGUAGGCGGCUUGCUGGGUCUUGACUGACGCUGAGGCACGAAAGCGUGGGUAGCAAACAGGAUUAGAUACCCUGGUAGUCCACGCCGUAAACGAUGAGUACUAAGUGUCGGGAUAAAACUCGGUACUGAAGUUAACACAUUAAGUACUCCGCCUGAGUAGUACGUACGCAAGUAUGAAACUUAAAGGAAUUGACGGGACUCCGCACAAGCGGUGGAUCAUGUUGUUUAAUUCGAAGAUACACGAAAAAUCUUACCAGGUCUUGACAUGCUCUGCAAAGCUAUAGAAAUAUAGUGGAGGUUAUCAGGGACACAGGUGGUGCAUGGUUGUCGUCAGUUCGUGUCGUGAGAUGUUAGGUUAAGUCCUAAAACGAGCGCAACCCUUGUCGUUAGUUACCAGCACGUA
rnacentral:rRNA from 1 species